GGGUUGACGCCAUUCUCCUGCCUCAGCCUCCCGAGUAGCUGUAGCUGGGACUACAGGCGCCCGCUGCCACGCCCGGCUAAUUUUUUGUAUUUUUAGUGGACACGGGGUUUCACCAUGUUAGCCAGGAUGAUCUCUAUCUCCUGACCUCGUGACCCGCCCGCCUCGGCCUCCCGAAGUGCUGGGAUUACAGGCGUUGAGCCACGGCGCCCGGCCUGCCAUUUCUAAUAGUGCAUGUAUUAAGAUGAAGAAGGAGGAGGAUUGGAGAACUGAGUAAAGGAAGAGGAGGACGAAGAAAGAAAAAGAAACCGAGGGACCAUUUUAAAUAAAAGAUAAAUCAAGAGAAAACUGUCUUACCAGAUUGCAUUCCCCAAAGUGAGGGCAGUCCAGAGUGGCACACCAAAGUAUUUCUGAUGCCAGAACUUCACCAUCAGAGACAGCAGUCCUCUUCCCUGGCCUGGACAAGAUCCCCAAGGUACUCACAAUACUUCUCAUGAAUUGAGGCAUGAAAAGGUCUCCUGAUGAAGGACUCAAGUUGGUGGAGAAGCUGAUCGUCCACCUCGAUCUCACUUUUUCCAGUGUAGAAAUG